CCGGAAUGAGAAAAAUAAUUUACUUUAAUUCCAACAAAAAUAAUUUACAAAAUGAUUUGUAAAUUUAGUUAUUAAAUUUUUAUGCAUUGCAUAUUUAUUAAAUUUAACAUUUAGCAUCUACACGAGCUAUUUAAUUAGCAAAUCCUGAAGAAUUAUUACAGUUCGAUAAAUCAACACAGAUAUUUUAUUAGUCAAAUCACCUACACCCUAUGAUAUCCAUCAGCCACCUACCCACCUCCCAUACCUGCAUUACACCUCAUUCAUCACUACCAUACCUGCAUUACACCUCAUUCAUCACUUCACACCAAUCACCCAACACACUUUCAUUUUUAAAGAGAGAGUUGAAGCUUCCUAACUUCAUCAGCCAACCAGUCAAACAGGAGCACAUAGAGUUCAAGUUCAGAGCACAACAAUCACCGAUUCAAGGUUUUACCCCACUAAUUUUUCACAGAUUUUUAUUCCAGCAAUAAGCAUACAAUUUCACAGGCAUGAUAUAUUUUAGUUCCACAAAUCUAUCAGCAAGCUUUCAUCUUUCAUAUAUUCGUGUAUAUAUAUAUAUAUAUAAGCUUAUGUAUAUUUUACUAAAUCAGCAGCCCAUGUUAAAGAACACAUACAUGAAUUUUUGGAAUAGCUUUUCACAAAGUUUUACAUAUACACAAAUGCUUUUAAGAAAAACUGUACUAGUAAAUAAAAGAGAAGAAGAAGAAUGCUAUAUGUUUGUUGGGUGUGUGAGCCGGGUCUGGAGAGGGUCGACGGACGGCGGUGGUGGUGGCUACGAAAGCUGCUACUGCCCGGCCGACGCAGGGGAGUGAUACGGCGGUCGGCGGCGGCUCAUCGCUGUUGUCCAUCCGGCGCAGCAGAGCGAGAGGGAGGUGGCGGCGCCCUCGCCGUUGCCAAGGAGGGAGGCGGACGAGGGGUGGUGUCUGGGCGUGAGCUCAUGGUUGGUGUGUGCGUGAGAUGAGAGGGAGAGAGAUGAAAUGGGGUUGGACGGCGGCUGGAUAGCGGGGCGGUUUAGCGGAGGGAGGCAGGGCACGGCGGCGGUGCCGCUGCUGCCCGGCCACGGCUGGAGAGAGAGGUGGUGUGGUCUGGUCUGGGCUGGGGCCGCGGGGGGUUGAGCGGAGGACGGCGGCAGCCGUGGGUUGCUGUCGCCGGGAAAUUGAUGAGGGAGACCGAGGGAAGCAGCGGCUGCUGCUGCUGCUGCUGUCGGCCGGUUGGGUGAAGGGAAUGGAGCUUCGGCGGCGGUGAAACUUCGAGAGGAAAGAGGGACGAGCAGAUCUCGGAUCAGUCGAGAGAGAGGGUGACUGAUGAGGGAGAGACAGCGGUGACUUGUUGUUGUUGCGUCGCCGGAGAAUAGAGAGUUUGAGGGAUGGCGUCUGUGGGUGUUGGUGCGAUGAGGGAGAUGAGAGAAGGGAGAGCCGAGAGUAUCAGACAGCCUGUCGCCGCUCGCUUCUCCGGCGAGCGUCCGCGGCGGAAGAACUGUCGAGAGAGAGAGACGAGUUGAAGGAGAGUGAGAGAUUGAUGUAUGAACGUGUGCGUGUGAUUUAGGUAGAAGAAGAUGAGUGUGGGCUAGGGCUUGGUUUGAGUUUUGGGCCUAUUUUUAUUUCAGUGGGCUCAUUUAUUUAAAAAGAGCAUUUGGGCCUUCUUAUUUAAUUAAGAAAGCUGGGCCGAUUUUUGGGCUUGAGUGUGGGCCGAUUUAUUUCAAUUAAUUGGGCCAAUGAUUUUGUUUUAAAUUUUCAACUGGGCCUUUAUUAAUUUAUUCAAUUGGGCUGUGCAGCUUCUUUAUUUAAAAUGGACUGCACUAUUUUAAUUAAUUAGACUUAUUAAAGUUUGAUUAAUUAUUUUAAAGAUGAUUUGCAUAAUAAUAUUAUAUUAUUAUUAUGUGCAUAUUUUAAGUGAUUACUUAUUAUAUGCUAAGCAUGACAUGCAUUUGCAUAUGCAUUUUUGCAAAUAAAAGUACUCAUGAUUUAAAUUUGGUUUUUAUUAUAAUUCCAAUUAUUAAAGAAAGUCGAGUAAGAAUAUUGUUGGUGUUCUUAACUCAAGGAUUAAAUGUUUUCAAUUAUUUAUUCAUUAAAUUUUGAAAACCUGGCUAAGUGAAUCAUAGAAUAUUAAGCACUACACCAUGACUUAAGAUUAGCUUCACGAUACCUAUUAAGAAUAGAAUUUCUUGUAGGCUUUGUGACCAGGGGGAUUAGCGCUGUUUUCCCAAGACAGGUUUUUAUGUGUAUGAUCUUCAGGCUUUGCCUAUCCAGGUGGGCUUACUUUCCAAAUGUACAAAGUAUGAUUGAGUUAUUAAGCUCUAAAUGUUUCAAUGAAAUGCAAAUUGUUUAUUUAAUGUAAUGAAAACUGUUUAUCCAAUAAAAUGUUUAUGUGCACUCUGCUCUGUUUAAGGCUCGCACAGUUAAUCAAUUGAGGUUCUCUUAUGACCUAAUACGUUGUUUGAGAAUUGUGUACACUUGUUAGUUGACUCGGUGGGUUGAUCUCCAUCGGGCUCUAACCAGAGGCGUUAUAAGGGUGCUCGGCUGGAUGUGUUCCGGAGCAUGAGAAAUAUAGGCCUCCUGGGUAGCGUCCCGAGGUCAAAGUAACUUGUCUGGGUUACGCCCUCAGUUCAAGUAAGCAGGAGACAGAGAUCCGUCGGUGGCUAAAAGGUCCGGGAUCACAGCGAGUAACAGAAAGGGAGUGUGACAUGUGCGCACAAAUGAAAGAAAAUAUUUUAACAUGCUUAGAAGUUAUUUCAAUUUAAAACCUUCUAAGUCAUGUCAAGUAUGAUUGGAUAAACUGUCUUUAUUAAAAUAUGAAAUGUUUCAGAAAAUGCAUGCCCACUAAGUACAUUAGUACUUAGCCCAAAAAUACUUUCAAAUGUUUUCAGGUUGGCUGGCCGGUGCUGACGGGACGGAGCUGAGGCUAGAGUUAAAUUCCUAUGUUAGACUUCCGCUGUAGCAAUUACUCAUAUCAGUCUUUUGUUUUCCCAACUUAAGAUCUUCAUGUUAAAUUUCAAAUGAUAUACCUGACAGAGCUUAGACUCUUCACUACUAAAUUUAUGCCAAUGAAUGUCGGUUGUCAGAAGCAUGAAACAAAACUUGUGAUCCAAAGGGGCAUAGCCCGACUUUCUAUCCUAUUUCGGGUUUUUA
rnacentral:lncRNA from 1 species